ACGCUAGCUACAGGCUUAACACAUGCAAGUCGAGGGGCAGCAUGGUCUUAGCUUGCUAAGGCCGAUGGCGACCGGCGCACGGGUGAGUAACACGUAUCCAACCUGCCGUCUACUCUUGGACAGCCUUCUGAAAGGAAGAUUAAUACAAGAUGGCAUCAUGAGUCCGCAUGUUCACAUGAUUAAAGGUAUUCCGGUAGACGAUGGGGAUGCGUUCCAUUAGAUAGUAGGCGGGGUAACGGCCCACCUAGUCUUCGAUGGAUAGGGGUUCUGAGAGGAAGGUCCCCCACAUUGGAACUGAGACACGGUCCAAACUCCUACGGGAGGCAGCAGUGAGGAAUAUUGGUCAAUGGGCGAGAGCCUGAACCAGCCAAGUAGCGUGAAGGAUGACUGCCCUAUGGGUUGUAAACUUCUUUUAUAAAGGAAUAAAGUCGGGUAUGCAUACCCGUUUGCAUGUACUUUAUGAAUAAGGAUCGGCUAACUCCGUGCCAGCAGCCGCGGUAAUACGGAGGAUCCGAGCGUUAUCCGGAUUUAUUGGGUUUAAAGGGAGCGUAGAUGGAUGUUUAAGUCAGUUGUGAAAGUUUGCGGCUCAACCGUAAAAUUGCAGUUGAUACUGGAUAUCUUGAGUGCAGUUGAGGCAGGCGGAAUUCGUGGUGUAGCGGUGAAAUGCUUAGAUAUCACGAAGAACUCCGAUUGCGAAGGCAGCCUGCUAAGCUGCAACUGACAUUGAGGCUCGAAAGUGUGGGUAUCAAACAGGAUUAGAUACCCUGGUAGUCCACACGGUAAACGAUGAAUACUCGCUGUUUGCGAUAUACGGCAAGCGGCCAAGCGAAAGCGUUAAGUAUUCCACCUGGGGAGUACGCCGGCAACGGUGAAACUCAA
rnacentral:rRNA from 1 species